rnacentral:rRNA from 1 species
CCUACGGGGGGCAGCAGUGGGGAAUAUUGGGCAAUGGGCGCAAGCCUGACCCAGCAACGCCGCGUGAAGGAAGAAGGCUUUCGGGUUGUAAACUUCUUUUCUCAGGGACGAAGCAAGUGACGGUACCUGAGGACUAAGCCACGGCUAACUACGUGCCAGCAGCCGCGGUAAUACGUAGGUGGCAAGCGUUAUCCGGAUUUACUGGGUGUAAAGGGCGUGUAGGCGGGAAAGCAAGUCAGAUGUGAAAACCCUGGGCUCAACCUGUGGCCUGCAUUUGAAACUGUUUUUCUGGAGUACUGGAGAGGCAGACGGAAUUCCUAGUGUAGCGGUGAAAUGCGUAGAUAUUAGGAGGAACACCAGUGGCGAAGGCGGUCUGCUGGACAGCAACUGACGCUGAGGCGCGAAAGCGUGGGGAGCAAACAGGAUUAGAUACCCUAGUAGUC